UACGAAGGGUGCAAACGUUGCUCGGAAUUAUUGGGCGUAAAGCGCACGUAGGCGGUAUUGCAAGUCGGAUGUGAAAUCCCUCGGCUCAACCAAGGAAGUGCAUCCGAAACUGCCGCACUUGAGUACUUAAGAGGAUCGCGGAAUUCCCGGUGUAGAGGUGAAAUUCGUAGAUAUCGGGAGGAACACCAGUGGCGAAGGCGGCGAUCUGGGAAGAUACUGACGCUGAGGUGCGAAAAGCGUGGGGAGCAAACAGG
rnacentral:rRNA from 1 species